AAGGUCACGGCAAGACGAGCCGUUUAUCAUCACGAUAGGUGCCAAGUGGAAGUGCAGUAAUGUAUGCAGCUGAGGCAUCCUAACAGACCGAGAGAUUUGAACCUUGUUCCUAUAUGACCUGAUUGUUUUUAUCAGGCAGCCACCUAUUUUCAUCGUUUAGUUGUUUCACAACAUCAA
rnacentral:rRNA from 1 species